UACGUAGGGGGCAAGCGUUAUCCGGAAUUACUGGGUGUAAAGGGUGCGUAGGUGGUAUGGCAAGUCAGAAGUGAAAACCCAGGGCUUAACUCUGGGACUGCUUUUGAAACUGUCAGACUGGAGUGCAGGAGAGGUAAGCGGAAUUCCUAGUGUAGCGGUGAAAUGCGUAGAUAUUAGGAGGAACAUCAGUGGCGAAGGCGGCUUACUGGACUGAAACUGACACUGAGGCACGAAAGCGUGGGGAGCAAACAGGAUUAGAAACCCGUGUAGUCGGCUCUGACU
rnacentral:rRNA from 1 species